rnacentral:rRNA from 1 species
UACGAAGGGGGCUAGCGUUGUUCGGAAUCACUGGGCGUAAAGCGCACGUAGGCGGAUCUUUAAGUCAGGGGUGAAAUCCCGAGGCUCAACCUCGGAACUGCCUUUGAUACUGGGGAUCUCGAGUCCGGGAGAGGUGAGUGGAACUGCGAGUGUAGAGGUGAAAUUCGUAGAUAUUCGCAAGAACACCAGUGGCGAAGGCGGCCCACUGGCCCGGAACUGACCGCUGAGGUGCGAAAAGCGUGGGGAGCAAACAGG